rnacentral:tRNA from 1 species
UUAAUAGAAGCCAAAGAGAGGCCUUUCAUUGUUAAUGAAAAUACUGAUUAUUCCUAUUAAG